AUACGUAGGGUGCAAGCGUUAAUCGGAAUUACUGGGCGUAAAGCGUGCGCAGGCGGUUUUGUAAGACAGAGGUGAAAUCCCCGGGCUCAACCUGGGAACUGCCUUUGUGACUGCAAGGCUGGAGUACGGCAGAGGGGGAUGGAAUUCCGCGUGUAGCAGUGAAAUGCGUAGAUAUGCGGAGGAACACCGAUGGCGAAGGCAAUCCCCUGGGCCUGUACUGACGCUCAUGCACGAAAGCGUGGGGAGCAAACAGGAGUAGAUACCCUGGUAGUCCACGCCCUAAACGAUGUCAACUGGUUGUUGGGUCUUCAUUGACUCAGUAACGAAGCUAACGCGUGAAGUUGACCGCCUGGGGAGUACGGCCGCAAGGUUGAAACUCAAAUGAAUUGACGGGG
rnacentral:rRNA from 1 species